GACGGGGGCCCGCACAAGCGGUGGAGUAUGUGGUUUAAUUCGAUGCAACGCGAAGAACCUUACCAGGGUUUGACAUCCUGAGAACCUCUUAGAAAUUUGAGGGUGCCUUCGGGAAUUCAGUGACAGGUGGUGCAUGGCUGUCGUCAGCUCGUGUCGUGAGAUGUUGGGUUAAGUCCCGCAACGAGCGCAACCCACGUUUUUAGUUGCCAGCAUUUAGUUGGGCACUCUAGAAAGACCGCCGGUGAUAAACCGGAGGAAGGUGUGGAUGACGUCAAGUCAUCAUGCCCCUUACACCCUGGGCUACACACGUACUACAAUGCUACGGACAAAGGGCAGCAAACUCGCGAGAGCUAGCAAAUCCCAUAAACCGUGGCUCAGUUCAGAUCGUAGGCUGCAACUCGCCUACGUGAAGUAGGAAUCGCUAGUAAUCGCAGGUCAGCAUACUGCGGUGUAAUACGUUCCCGGGCCUUGUACACACCGCCCGUCACACCAUGGUAUAGUUGGCCAUGCCCGUAUAGUC
rnacentral:rRNA from 1 species